rnacentral:rRNA from 1 species
GUCCACGCUGUAAACGAUGGGCACUAGGUGUCCGGGGUAUUGACCCCUGGUGCCGCAGCUAACGCAUUAAGUGCCCCGCCUGGGGAGUACGGUCGCAAGAUUAAACUCAAAGGAAUUGACGGGGCCCGCACAAGCGGUGGAGCAUGUGGUUCAAUUCGACGCAACGCGAAGAACCUUACCUGGGCUAGACAACAGUGGACCGUCCUAGAAAUAGGAUUUCCCUUCGGGGACCGCUGGUUCAGGUGCUGCAUGGCUGUCGU